rnacentral:tRNA from 1 species
GCCCACAUAGCUCAGUGGUAGAGCAACGGUUUUGUAAACCGUAGGUCGUCGGUUCGAAACCGACUGUGGGCUCCA